rnacentral:rRNA from 1 species
AGCGAACGCUGGCGGCAGGCUUAACACAUGCAAGUCGAGCGGCCGUAGCAAUACGGCAGCGGCAGACGGGAGAGUAACACGUGGGAACGUACCCUUCAGUACGGAACAACCAAGGGAAACUUUGGCUAAUACCGUAUACGUCCGUAAGGAGAAAGAUUUAUCGCUGAAGGAUCGGCCCGCGUCUGAUUAGCUAGUUGGUGAGGUAACGGCUCACCAAGGCGACGAUCAGUAGCUGGUCUGAGAGGAUGAUCAGCCUCACUGGGACUGAGACACGGCCCAGACUCCUACGGGAGGCAGCAGUGGGGAAUAUUGGACAAUGGGCGCAAGCCUGAUCCAGCCAUGCCGCGUGGAUGAUGAAGGCCCUAGGGUUGUAAAGUCCUUUUAACGGGGAAGAUAAUGACGGUACCCGUAGAAUAAGCCCCGGCUAACUUCGUGCCAGCCGCCGCGGUAAGAC